rnacentral:rRNA from 1 species
GAUGAACGCUGGCUACAGGCUUAACACAUGCAAGUCGAGGGGAAACGCCGGGGAAGCUUGCUUCCCCGGGCGUCGACCGGCGCACGGGUGAGUAACGCGUAUCCAACCUGCCUCUGACUGAGGGAUAACCCGUCGAAAGUCGGCCUAAUACCUCAUGGCAUCGUCUGCGGGCAUCCAACGACGAUUAAAGAUUUCAUCGGUCAGGGAUGGGGAUGCGUCUGAUUAGCUUGUUGGCGGGGUAACGGCCCACCAAGGCUACGAUCAGUAGGGGUUCUGAGAGGAAGGUCCCCCACAGUGGAACUGAGACACGGUCCAAACUCCUACGGGAGGCAGCAGUGAGGAAUAUUGGUCAAUGGGCGGGAGCCUGAACCAGCCAAGUAGCGUGCAGGAUGACGGCCCUAUGGGUUGUAAACUGCUUUUAGGCGGGGAUAAAGUGAGGGACGUGUCCUUCAUUGCAGGUACCGCAUGAAUAAGGACCGGCUAAUUCCGUG